CUCUUCCUCGCAGGGCCAGGGGACGGCCUGUCGCCGCUGCCCUUCCCGCCACCCUCCCCACCCGCUGCCAAGCGCCCCAAGAUGUUCUUCUCCUCGGACUCGGAGGCUGACGCCGAGCCCACCUCGCCCUCCGCCGCCGGCGCGGGGGCCGACCCCGGGCAGCGCCGCCCCAGGUACAAGCGCCGCAAGGUCGCCAUCCUCCCCAGGGCGGCGCCUCCGUCGCUCGAUCUCCGCCUCCUCUCUCGCUCCAUCACCUAGCGGUGACGCCCCAUCUCCCGCCGGAACUCGAUCGCCAACCAUCCCGCCGAUGGUGCGUGGGCUGUAGGAACGGGGAUCCGUGCGAACCAUUUUCUCUGGCAACAAACCGGCGACGGCUGCAUCUGUUCCGGCAGCGGCAUCUGGACGUCUCUGCCUGCAAGUUUGGCAACGCGGUGCCCGUGCAAGCCUUUAGGUCCAUAAAGCUCGUGAGUUGAUUGCAGAAACAGUUAAAAAGAUGGAUAGACCAAAACUGUUUGAGCAUUAUAUCCGAAAGAAGAUAGCUAUCGCCCAAGCUAUUGGUCUGAUUCCCACGGUUAAGCAAGCAUCAGCAGAGUCAGGGCAGCAAAUAGAUACUUGAAGCAAAAGGGUGGCAGCCAUUAAGUGGAUUAAUGUUUACAAUGAGGCGGCUCUCAGGCUACAGUGAGAUGCAUGUACUGAUGCUACCAUAGCACCUGACGAACAUAAAUAUAGGGCGAGGAAAGCUGACGACGCCACGGAGAUUCUGCAGAAAGGGAUCCUCAUUCAGGCAGCUACCCAGCAAGCAUUUUCAUGAUGAAGCUCAAGCUCUGCAUUUGGCAUCUCUGCUGGUCAAGCUCUUAAAUCUUCAUACUAUCUCACAGACAACCAGUCGCAGGCUUCAAACAUACAGCAACAACACCCAAUAUCGAAUGCUGUCGAGUGGAUAUUGAGGCCUCUCUUGGCUGAAUAAUUCGCCAACGACUACUAUGCCAAGCAAUUCCAAGGCGUGCCAACACAAAUGCCCAUAGAUUAGAUAGGCAGGCUUGGCAAGUGGCAACAUUAGACACAGUUAGCUGCUACUUCUCAUGCUUCCAAGUUGGACAUACGGAGUGCGUCUGAAUGCCCAAUGACACAAGACACUUUUGGUACUUUUACCAGAAAGGUAGCAAACCCUUCUCAC